GACUCUUCUGGAAUACUGGGGAAGCCAGUGGUGCAGUGUGCGUGCAAGCUAGGGUCCUCGAACAUCUUUUCAAGGAUCAUGUUGAGAGUGAGAUGCAUGGAACCAACCAGCAUGGCUCCAAUGUGGAGGGAAUGGAGUUCUUCAUGGCCGUCCUGGGGACUGGCUCCUGCGUUGUCACCCACGGGGGGCAGGUGACCUGCUGAAGGCUGGGGCCAAGCCAGAGGACUCUCCAUCUGCAGAGCAUGGCCACAGCAUUGGCCGCUUGGUCGGAAGCCCAGUGGGAGCCUGGGCGAGCUCCAUACCGUGCCUGUGGCCCCACGGUUUGUCUGCAGCCGGGGUCGGAUGUGUAACCACCGGACAGGGCCGUGCAACGACAUGCUGGGGGCGAGGUAAGGGGAACACAGCCCAGUCAUUUAAACAUUUUCUAGGAGGCCAGGGAUUUUCCCAUUCUUUGCUGCUCGCCUGGAUACCGGAGGCCCCAUGGAGGCGGCCCUUGUGGCUGCUCCGUGCUGGGAUUGGCAGCUGCGGUCCUCGCCUUGGCCUGUGCCCAGGGAACUCGGGUUUUCUGUCCUGGAGUUGGAGGCCGACCCAGCGUAACUUCUCUGAUUGGUCAUCCUGCCCUGGCCAGCAAGCUGGCGAGAGUCCAGGUUGGACAGAGUGCCCUGGGGUGCAGGGAGGGGGACCACACCGAGCAGUAAGGAGAUCCUUGGGAAACAGCUGGAGUGUGACUGAAACUCACAGCAAGGGCCCUUGCAAUUUCACCUCCAAACCUCAGUGCUUUUGGUUACGGAAGGGAGUUGGGGGUGGCUGGGGAAAAAUAAGAAAAGGCUCCUUCUCCUCCUACACAACAGGCCAGCCUCCUCCCCUUCCUGGUUCUAAGCAGAGAAAAUGGGAAACACAGACAGGGACGGGGACAGAGAGGUAAUCAAGUGUGACAGAGACAAAUACAGGGAGAAGGGGACAGAACGUGAAAAACCCAGGGAUGGUGGUCCACCCUAGGAGAUCCACCAGGUGAAGGAAGGAGGGAAGGGGCUGGGAGCAUGGAAACACAGACCCAAGACAGGAUGGGUUCUGAGCCUUGCAAAGGUGGGGAGGCCACGCCUGGCUGGGCAAACAGCAGCAGCUAGAAAUAUUUCUAGAGAAGUCCUCAAGGUAAAUAAAGUGAUAAUACAGUCCCCACCUCUCCUUGCUGUCCUGCUGUUAAAGGUCAUUGGGCGGAAAGACCCAGAGAAUCCCAGGAAUGAACAGCUGAAGGGCCAGAGUCCCUGCGCAAUGUGGAAAAGGGAGGAACGUCUCUUGAUAGCAAGGCGGAACGCUGGGCCUCUCCUCUGCCACGGGAGGUGUUUAACCCACACUGGCCACCUUGUCACCACACAAACAGCCCGGACACCAUGGCUGUUGACACAACAUCCUCAGAGUCCCCAGGUUCCUCUUGGCCUUGGAUCUCCUCCCUGGGUCUCCACAGGCAAGACUCACCUCCAAAGGCAAGCCCCGUGCUGCCGCCUCCACCAGCUGUGGCCGACUGGAGCGUGGGGACCUGGCCGGCCA